rnacentral:rRNA from 1 species
UACGGGGGGGGCAAGCGUUGUUCGGAAUUACUGGGCGUAAAGCGCGCGUAGGCGGACCUGCAAGUCGGGGGGUGGAAAGCCCCGAGGCUCAACCUCGGAACUGCCUUCGAUACUGCGGGUCGUCGAGUCCGGGAGAGGUGAGUGGAAUUCCUAGUGUAGAGGUGAAAUUCGUAGAUAUUAGGAAGAACACCAGUGGCGGAAGGCGGCUCACUGGCCCGGUACUGACGCUGAGGCGCGAAAAGCGUGGGGAGCAAACAGG